CAGCCGCCGCGGGAAUACGUAGGUGGCAAGCGUUGUCCGGAAUUAUUGGGCGUAAAGGGCUCGCAGGCGGUUUCUUAAGUCUGAUGUGAAAGCCCCCGGCUCAACCGGGGAGGGUCAUUGGAAACUGGGAAACUUGAGUGCAGAAGAGGAGAGUGGAAUUCCACGUGUAGCGGUGAAAUGCGUAGAGAUGUGGAGGAACACCAGUGGCGAGGGCGACUCUCUGGUCUGUAACUGACGCUGAGGAGCGAAAGCGUGGGGAGCGAACAGGAUUAGAUACCCCAGUAGUCCCUGUCUCUUAUAC
rnacentral:rRNA from 1 species